AUUGAACGCUGGCGGCAUGCCUUACACAUGCAAGUCGAACGGCAGCACGGGAGCAAUCCUGGUGGCGAGUGGCGAACGGGUGAGUAAUAUAUCGGAACGUGCCCGGUCGUGGGGAUAACGUAGCGAAAGCUACGCUAAUACCGCAUACGAUCUACGGAUGAAAGCGGGGGAGUCGCAAGACCUCGCGCGAUUGGAGCGGCCGAUAUCAGAUUAGGUAGUUGGUGAGGUAAAGGCUCACCAAGCCGACGAUCUGUAGCUGGUCUGAGAGGACGACCAGCCACACUGGGACUGAGUCACGGCCCAGACUCCUACGGGAGGCAGCAGUGGGGAAUUUUGGACCAAUGGGCGGAAAGACCUGAUCCAGCCAUGCCGCGUGUGU
rnacentral:rRNA from 1 species